rnacentral:rRNA from 1 species
AGUUCGGAUUGGAGUCUGCAACCCGAACCUCCAUGAAGCUGGAUUCGCUAGUAAUCGCGCAUCAGCCACGGCGCGGUGAAUACGUUCCCGGGCCUUGUACACACCGCCCGUCAAGCCAUGGAAGCCGGGGAGUGCCUGAAGUGCGUGACCGCAAGGAGCGUCCUAAGGCAAUACCGGUGACUGGGGCUAAGUCGUAACAAGGUAGC